rnacentral:rRNA from 1 species
GACGAACGCUGGCGGCGUGCUUAACACAUGCAAGUCGAACGGAAAGGCCCUGCUUUUGUGGGGUGCUCGAGUGGCGAACGGGUGAGUAACACGUGAGUAACCUGCCCUUGACUUUGGGAUAACUUCAGGAAACUGGGGCUAAUCCCGGAUAGGAGCUCCUGCUGCAUGGUGGGGGUUGGAAAGUUUCGGCGGUUGGGGAUGGACUCGCGGCUUAUCAGCUUGUUGGUGGGGUAGUGGCUUACCAAGGCUUUGACGGGUAGCCGGCCUGAGAGGGGGACCGGCCACAUUGGGCCUGAGAUACGGCCCAGACUCGUAUGGGAGGCAGCGGUGGGGAAUAGUGCACAGUGGGCGGAAGCCUGAUGCGGCAACGCCGCGUGCGGGAUGACGGCAUUCGGGUUGUAAACCGCUGUCGCCUGUGACGAAGCGUGAGUGACGGUAAUGGGUAAAUAAGCACCGGCUAACUACGUG